UACGUAGGUGGCAAGCGUUGUCCGGAUUUACUGGGCGUAAAGAGCGCGCAGGCGGUCGUUCAAGUCGCGUGUGAAAGCCCCCGGCUCAACUGGGGAGGGUCACGCGAUACUGAUCGACUCGAAGGCAGGAGAGGGUAGUGGAAUUCCCGGUGUAGUGGUGAAAUGCGUAGAUAUCGGGAGGAACACCUGUGGCGAAGGCGGCUUGCUGGGCCUUACCUGACGCUGAGACGCGAAAGCGUGGGGAGCGAACCGG
rnacentral:rRNA from 1 species